CCAGCUGUCAAAUAUGAAGAUCUAUUGUGGUAUCUUUUUGUUGCUGCUAGAUUUGGUGAACGCCUGGCCUGAAGUCGGGAAAUGGAACAUAAAUAAGAAUAAAAACAACGUCAGAAUUGGAUCUAAUCCUAUUCCUCCUGUACCAACACCAGCGCUAGCUCCAGAGGAACCUCCAGUUCCCGCACCUGCACCCGCACCACCACUAGCACCCGCACCAACUUCAGACGGAGCACCAGCACCACAAGGAGACCCAGGACGACAUGCAUCAGGUCCUGGAACACCAGGAUACCCACCCAGAGGUCCAGGACACCCACCUGGCCCACCAGGAAACCGACCCACUGGAUACCCAGGACAGGGCCUACCUGCAGGCCCAGGACAUGGCACACCAGGAUACCCACCAGGAUACCCAGGGCCCGACUAUGGGUAGGUAGAGAAGACAGUCAAGUUGACAGACCUGAUUGUGGCAAAUAAAUGGCAGAAAUUGAAUGGCUAAACAGAAAAUUUAAGGCUGGAAUUAAAUCUUGAGAUCUUGAGGCCGUGGACUUAUGUAUCAAAGAGAAAAGGUUUUAUUAUUACAAAAUACAUUGUUUGCUUUCCUACUCAAUUUGCAAAGUUCUGCACAGGCGCGAAAAUUCAUUCAGCAGCUGUUUAUAAUUUCAAUCAUGUGUUACAUGAUAUUCGUUGUGUUAUAUAACUGAAACCGAUUUGAAGAUUAGUUUUAGCUAAAAUAUUUUUCCGCAUUCAAAUGAAAAUAUCUAACAAAUUUUCUUAAUAGCGAUCGUGGUGCCGCUCCCUUAAGAUGACUUUUGCCGGAAGAUUUUGCAUGCUGUUGUUGCUGCUUUAUGGAAGCUUGAAUGUGAAUGCUAGUAAGAUAUUUUUUAGUGUCUAAUUGUAUUCUAAAAAUUCCGAGCCCAUCUUAAUUGUCUAGCAAUGAAACCGAAACAAGUUUUGACAAAUAUCGAAAUAGAGUCCAACAACUUUCUGCAAUGCCUCAGGCCGCACGAUUGGAAUAAACAAAAAGCGAAACUCGUGUUGACGUUACCAGUGGAAUGCGAAUCCCUGCUCGAUAAGCUUGCCUACACUUGGCUGGAUCGUCCCAUGCUCAAAGACAAAGACAAGCCAAAGAAAAGCUUAUGGAAACGUUGGUUCUGUAAAGAAUAAAGUGCAUCUACAUAUUUACAGCAUAGAUGAACAUUCGACAGAGGGUCGUAUUAUCAUCCCAAAAUAAAAACAAUUAUAUCUUUUGAGAGGAAUUAUCUUGACGCAUGGCUCAGCCACUCGUGUGGUUAUAUUAUUUUGUUUUCAACCAUUUUUUAUAUACGGUACUCGAAGAGUAAAUUGGGUAUAUUGUGUUUGUGCUCAAAAGUGGAUUUACAUAUGUAACAGAAUAAAGUACAAGAAUAUUCUUGACCGGCAUCAAUAGCCGAGUCGAUAUAGCCAUGCGUGUCUCGCCGUCUAACUGGCCGUCUGUUCGUCCGUCUUGAUGAUCCUCUGGAUAUCAGAGACUAUAAAAGCUAGAGCCACAAAAUGUUGCAUAUCACACUGUUAGAAAUGUUUUUCAAGACUUCGCGCCGCUACGCUUCCGAAAUUCCCAAACAGCACAAGUCUGAU
rnacentral:lncRNA from 1 species